UGCAGUCGACGAUAAAGCGAAUUUAUUCGCGAUUAAAGUGGCGAACGGGUGAGUAACGCGUGGGAAACCUGCCUUCGAGUGGGGGAUAACAUUUCUAACGGAAUGCUAAUACCGCAUAACAUCACAGAUCGCAUGGUCUGUGCUCAAAGAUAGCCUCUACAUGUAAGCUGUCGCUUGAAGAUGGUCCCGCGUCCCAUUAGCUUGUUGGUAGGGUAAUGGCCUACCAAGGCAUCGAUGGGUAGCCGGCCUGAGAGGGUGACCGGCCACACUGGGACUGAGACACGGCCCAGACUCCUACGGGAGGCAGCAGUCGAGAGGCUUCGGCAAUGGGGGAAACCCUGACCGAGCGACGCCGCGUGGACGAUGAAGUUUUUCGGAAUGUAAAGUCCUGUCAUACGGGAUGAAAAGCCGAUUGGUUAAUAUCCUUUCGGUCUGACAGUACCGUAAGAGGAAGCUCCGGCUAACUCCGUGCCAGCAGCCGCGGUAAUACG
rnacentral:rRNA from 1 species